CCCGUUUAUAAAAUAACGCUGGUCAGGGGAAGUAAUUGUUGCGGUCUAUGUCUAUGAUUAUCGUUCGUGCAAAUGGUGGCGCUGUUUGGAAAAUUUGAAAACAACACGAUUGGCAAUUUAUUUGGAUUUCGAAGAUCCUGGUCCUGGCUGAAAUUUAGAGUAUUGCAGCUGUAGCCUGUAUACCAUACAUUCAACAUGAAAGGGACUGUCAGGAUGCUGCAUAAAAUGGUCUUAGCUAGAGCCUAGAAUGUUAAUUUCUUGGGAAUAUGCUGCAAGGAACUGACGGGGAGCAGUUUUUCUUACAAAUCAUAGAAGCAGUAAGAGACAGCCAAAGAAGUACUCGAACACUUGACAUACCCAGAAAGAUCUAGAAGAAAAGAUUGGAACAGAUUGUAGCUUAAUUGUUAAAACUAUUAAAGUGAAUUUUAGCUGCACUUGAACUGUAUUUUGAAAUAAAAUAUCUGAAG